rnacentral:rRNA from 1 species
UACGAAGGGUGCAAGCGUUACUCGGAAUUACUGGGCGUAAAGCGUGCGUAGGCGGUUUGUUAAGUCUGUCGUGAAAGCCCUGGGCUCAACCUGGGAAUGGCGAUGGAUACUGGCAAGCUAGAGUACGGUAGAGGAUGGUGGAAUUCCCGGUGUAGCGGUGAAAUGCGUAGAGAUCGGGAGGAACACCCGUGGCGAAGGCGGCCAUCUGGACCAGUACUGACGCUGAGGCGCGAAAGCUAGGGGAGCAAACAGG